rnacentral:pre_miRNA from 19 species
UGCAAGCUGGAUAUAUUCCGAGGGGGAAAAGUUAUGGCGAUUAUGAGGAAUUGAACCAUAAGCGUAUAGCUUUUCCCCUUUGGCGUAUGUCGCUCCAACG